GGAAUUGGCGGGGGAGCACCACAAGGGGUGAAGCCUGCGGUUCAAUUGGAGUCAACGCCUGAAACCUUACCCGGAGAGACAGCAGAAUGAAGGUCAAGCUGAAGACUUUACCAGACAAGCUGAGAGGAGGCGCAUGGCCGUCGACAGCUCGUGCCGUGAGGCGUCCUGUUAAGUCAGGCAACGAGCGAGACCCUUGCCAUUAAUUGCUUCCAUCGAUCGAAAGGUUGGCGGAGCUAGUUAAUGGGACUGCCGUUGAUAAAACGGAGGAAGGAAGGGGCCACGGCAGGUCAGUAUGCCCCGAAACUCUGGGGCCACACGCGGGCUGCAAUGGUAGGCACAAUAGGUACCGAAUUCGAGAGAAUGAGGCAAUCCCAAAAUCCUACCCCAGUUGUGAUUGAGGGCUGCAACUCGCCCUCAUGAAUCUGGAAUCCCUAGUAACCGCGUGUCAACAUCGCGCGGUGAAUACGUCCCUGCUCCUUGCACACACCGCCCGUCGCUUCACCCGAGUUGGGUUUGGGGGAGAUAGUGUCUUAUUGACAUUAUCGAACCUAGGUUCGACAAGGGGGGAGAAGUCGUAACAAGGUGGCCGUAGGGGAACCUGUGGCCG
rnacentral:rRNA from 1 species